CGGAGUGAGCUUGCGACGCGAGCCGCCGCCGCUGCUGCUGCUGCUGCUGAGCACCCGGCAGCGACCAAACUAUCCGUUUGUCUGGGAGUUUAGCGAGCUAAGCUAACUAGCUGACUGAGUCGUUAUCAUAGGAACAAGCUGUGCUGUUUGCAAUUCUGGACGGCAAAAUUAAACUAGAGUACUGUAAGUAGUUGUUUUAGUUGCAAUUUAAAAUGUCUAUAUUACCGUUUACUCCUCCAAUUGUGAAGAGGCUUCUUGGCUGGAAGAAAGGAGAGCAAAACGGGCAAGAGGAGAAAUGGUGCGAAAAGGCUGUGAAAAGUCUUGUGAAGAAGUUGAAAAAGACCGGACAGCUGGACGAGUUGGAAAAAGCCAUCACAACACAGAAUGUCAACACGAAAUGCAUAACCAUACCCAGGUCUUUAGAUGGACGUCUGCAGGUUUCCCACAGAAAAGGUCUUCCUCAUGUGAUCUACUGCCGCUUGUGGCGCUGGCCGGAUCUGCAGUCGCACCAUGAGUUGAGAGCGGUCGACCACUGUGAAUUCGCCUUCCACACCAAGAAGGAUGAAGUUUGCGUCAACCCCUACCACUACCAGAGGGUGGAGACUCCAAUUUUGCCCCCUGUCCUAGUACCACGACAUACAGAUAUCCCCGCAGUGUUCCCACCACUGGAUGACUACAGUCCAUCCAUUCCUGAGAACACCAACUUCCCCGCUGGCAUUGAGCCCCAGAGUAACUAUAUUCCUGAAACUCCCCCACCAGGGUAUCUGAGUGAGGAUGGUGAGACAAAUGACCACCAGCUUAACCACAGCAUGGACACCAGUUCACCCAGCCUGUCGCCCAAUCCUGUGUCACCCACAAACAGUAAUCUUGACUUACAACCUGUGACGUACUGCGAAUCUGCCUUCUGGUGCUCCAUCUCCUACUAUGAGCUGAACCAACGUGUAGGAGAGACCUUCCACGCCUCCCAGCCAUCCCUCACAGUAGAUGGAUUCACAGACCCCUCCAACUCUGAGCGCUUCUGUCUGGGCUUGCUGUCCAACGUCAACCGCAACUCAGCAGUAGAGCUCACACGCAGACACAUAGGACGGGGCGUGAGGUUGUACUACAUUGGGGGAGAGGUGUUUGCUGAGUGUCUCAGUGACAGUGCCAUCUUUGUCCAGAGUCCCAACUGCAACCAGCGCUACGGCUGGCAUCCGGCCACUGUCUGCAAAAUCCCUCCAGGCUGCAACCUGAAGAUCUUCAACAACCAGGAGUUUGCUGCCCUGCUCGCCCAGUCGGUCAAUCAGGGCUUUGAGGCUGUCUACCAACUCACAAGGAUGUGUACCAUUCGCAUGAGUUUUGUCAAGGGUUGGGGAGCAGAGUACAGACGUCAGACAGUGACCAGCACCCCCUGUUGGAUAGAGCUGCAUCUCAAUGGCCCUUUGCAGUGGUUGGACAAGGUCCUCACACAGAUGGGCUCUCCCAGCAUCCACUGCUCCAGUGUGUCAUAGGAGCAGAACUCCGUCCCAUCCACACACUUAAACACAAACCACAUAGGAAAAAAACAAAACAAGCGUCUGUCAGUGAUAAUAAGGAAAGAGACGCCAUUCAUCAAAAUCGUCAAUUCACUCUCCUCCCUCAAAGUCUCUAACAUUUCACCUCACCACAUGUAGGUCUACAGCACUUUCCUUACUACCACUUAGUGUCUCCAUUUGAAGGUUAUUUUAGGACUAGUACAUUGUUUUGUUUUGCACGUGUUCAACAGGCAACCACAGGGUAUUUUCAGGAGGUUUCAAAAGAACAACCACAUUUUCUUCAUUAUUCAUUCAGACAUCUUCUCUGUGCUUAGUAAGUUUUUGUUUUGUUUUUGUGGUUUGUUUACCAAGUUGAAGUUAAGGCACAGUUUCACCUUGGUCAUCAUUUACAUGUUUCAGAACAUUUUUUGAUUCUAUGAAUUAGCUAAAAUUAUGAAUACGCUACCAUCACUGGUGUGUACCACCACUCUUUGUAAUCACUGAAUUGGGAGGAUUAUUUACCAAUUGAAUCAUGAAUCAACAUGAAAAAUGUCAUUCUGAGUCGUGAUUAAAUAGAAUAUAUUUAAUUAAUAUUUUAAGUACAAGGUACUUUGGCCAUAUUGAUUUAUCUGUAUUAAUGAAAUCAUCAAUUAUAUGAUUGAUCAUUUAAUUGGUAUUUUAUCUAUUUUAAACAAAAUAUAGACAUUAGCACCAUUGUUUCUUGACAAGAACCCUUAUAUGAAAACUAUUUUGCUCAGUGAAAGAGACAUUUUAUAAGUUAUUUUUGCAUACUGUCCUGCAUGGGAAUAUAUUUUUAUUAUUGCCUCAAUAUGAUUGUACAUAAAUAUUUAUAGCUUGUGAUUUCUUGUAGUCAUGCAUUGCUUGAAACAGUGGACCUGACUGACCUCUGGCAUGAGUAGAUUCACAAAAAGACUUUGCUUUAAUGACCCAGAACUUAGCCUAGUUAAACACUGGCUUUUCCAACCCGGGUUAGGUAGUGUAAUAGGUGUAAUACAUAGGAUUACUGUACCAGCUAUAACUGUUAUUUAAUGAUAGAGACAUGCAGAAUGAGUGAUCAUAGUGGACUGAUUGAAUUUAGGAACCGUGUGAAUUCAGUGUGAAGGGUGCUCAGUAGCAGUGACUGUGGCUGUGGUUCAUCCAUCGAUGACAAUGUGGAGUGAAAAUAUAAAUGCAGGUCUUUUCACAUAUUCACCAACUGUUAGCCAGUAGUACACUAUGCUCCUUGUGGGUAAAUGAUGCACUUCAAGUUUAAUGUGUUGAUCAGUGUAAAAGCUUUAGUUUUAGUGGUAAUUUGCUUGUCCAGUAAAUACUGUAAUUACAUGUACAUUGCUACAAUAUAAGGCAUGUGUAAUAUGCUCGCUGUCCUUGGUCAUUGUCUAAGAAACCACCAUGUUAAUCCAGCACUUACUUACAGUACAUAAGACUGAGUCGCCAUGUUAUCUAUUUAAAUCAUUACAUGGUGCUAAACUGAAAUACUGUGUACUACGGUGCAUUAGGUAGUUGGUAGAGCUGUAUCAGUACUUGUGUUCCUUGAUAUUCUUAGUUGGUGGUUUUCUUUUUCUUCAAGUCUUAUGUACAUGUUUAUUUCAUGUAGCCUAAUAUUUGUUCUCAAAUGACCAUUGUUUUUGUUAUCUGUGAAAAUUUAAUAAAUUGCAGCUGAGAUGGAAGA